rnacentral:rRNA from 2 species
CAGCCGCCGCGGUAAAACCAGCACCUCAAGUGGUCAGGAUGAUUAUUGGGCCUAAAGCAUCCGUAGCCGGCUCUGUAAGUUUUCGGUUAAAUCUGUACGCUUAACGUACAGGCUGCCGGGAAUACUGCAGAGCUAGGGAGUGGGAGAGGUAGACGGUACUCGGUAGGAAGGGGUAAAAUCCUUUGAUCUAUUGAUGACCACCUGUGGCGAAGGCGGUCUACCAGAACACGUCCGACGGUGAGGGAUGAAAGCUGGGGGAGCAAACCGGAUUAGAUACCCGGGUAGUCCCAGCUGUAAACUAUGCAAACUCGGUGAUGCAUUGGCUUGAUGCCAAUGCAGUGCCGCAGGGAAGCCGUUAAGUUUGCCGCCUGGGAAGUACGUACGCAAGUAUGAAACUUAAAGGAAUUGGCGGGGGAGCAC